AACCUCCGCAAUGUGAGAAAUCGCGACGGGGGGAUCCCAAGUGCCAUUCUUAACGGGAUGGCUUUUCUUAAGUGUAAAAAGCUUUUGGAAUAAGAGCUGGGCAAGACCGGUGCCAGCCGCCGCGGUAACACCGGCAGCUCUAGUGGUAGCUGUUUUUAUUGGGCCUAAAGCGUUCGUAGCCGGUUUGAUAAGUCACUGGUGAAAUCCUGUAGCUUAACUGUGGGAAUUGCUGGAGAUACUAUUAGACUUGAGACCGGGAGAGGUUAGAGGUACUCCCAGGGUAGAGGUGAAAUUCUGUAAUCCUGGGAGGACCACCUGUUGCGAAGGCGUCUAACUGGAACGGUUCUGACGGUGAGGGACGAAAGUUAGGGGCGCGAACCGGAUUAGAUACCCGGGUAGUCCUAACUGUAAACGAUGCGGACUUGGUGUUGGGGUGGCUUUGAGCUGUCUCAGUGCCGAAGGGAAGCUGUUAAGUCCGCCGCCUGGGAAGUACGGUCGCAAGACUGAAACUUAAAGGAAUU
rnacentral:rRNA from 1 species